UCGAAACUGGCAGGCUUGAGUCUUGUAGAGGGGGGUAGAAUUCCAGGUGUAGCGGUGAAAUGCGUAGAGAUCUGGAGGAAUACCGGUGGCGAAGGCGGCCCCCUGGACAAAGACUGACGCUCAGGUGCGAAAGCGUGGGGAGCAAACAGGAUUAGAUACCCUGGUAGUCCACGCCGUAAACGAUGUCUACUUGGAGGUUGUGCCCUUGAGGCGUGGCUUCCGGAGCUAACGCGUUAAGUAGACCGCCUGGGGAGUACGGCCGCAAGGUUAAAACUCAAAUGAAUUGACGGGGGCCCGCACAAGCGGUGGAGCAUGUGGUUUAAUUCGAUGCAACGCGAAGAACCUUACCUGGUCUUGACAUCCACAGAAGAAUCCAGAGAUGGAUUUGUGCCUUCGGGAACUGUGAGACAGGUGCUGCAUGGCUGUCGUCAGCUCGUGUUGUGAAAUGUUGGGUUAAGUCCCGCAACGAGCGCAACCC
rnacentral:rRNA from 1 species